rnacentral:rRNA from 1 species
UUUGAUCCUGGCUCAGAACGAACGCUGGCGGCAUGCCUAACACAUGCAAAGCGAACGAGACCUCCGGGUCUAGUGGCGCACGGGUGCGUAACGCGUGGGAAUCUGCCCUUUGCUUCGGAAAAUCACAGAGAAAUUUGGGCUAAUACCGGAUAAUGUCGAAAGACCAAAAUUUUAUCGGCAAAGGAUGAGCCCGCGUAGGAUUAGCUAGUUGGUGGGGUAAUGGCCUACCAAGGCGACGAUCCUUAGCUGGUCUGAGAGGAUGAUCAGCCACACUGGGACUGAGACACGGCCCAGACUCCUACGGGAGGCAGCAGUGGGCAAAUUUGGACAAUGAAUCGCAACCCUGAUCCAGCCAUGCCGCGUGCGGGAAGAAGGCCCUCGGGUUUUAACCGCUUUUAGCUGGGAAAGAAAAGGCCAUCGUUAAUAGCGGUGGUUCUUGACGGUACCGGCGGAAUAAGCACCGGCUAACUACGUGCCAGCAGCCGCGGUAAUACGUAGGGUGCGAGCGUUAAUCGGAAUUACUGGGCGUAAAGCGUGCGCAGGCGGUUCGUUUUGUUUGCGGUGAAAGCCGGGCUCAACCCCUGGGAAUGGCCGUGAAAACUGGCGAGCUGGAGUGUGGCAGAGGGCGGUUGGAAUUCCAGGUGUAGCAGUG